rnacentral:rRNA from 1 species
GAUGAACGCUAGCGGGAGGCUUAACACAUGCAAGUCGAGGGGCAUCACGGGUAGCAAUACCUGGUGGCGACCGGCAGACGGGUGAGUAACGCGUAUGUAACCUACCCUGUACAGGGGGAUAACCCGGAGAAAUUCGGACUAAUAUCCCAUAAUGAUAUCUGGGGGCAUCUUCGGAUAUUUAAAGUUCCGGCGGUACAGGAUGGGCAUGCGUAACAUUAGCUAGUUGGUAAGGUAACGGCUUACCAAGGCUUUGAUGUUUAGGGGUCCUGAGAGGGUGGUCCCCCACACUGGUACUGAGACACGGACCAGACUCCUACGGGAGGCAGCAGUGAGGAAUAUUGGUCAAUGGGCGCAAGCCUGAACCAGCCAUCCCGCGUGCAGGAAGACGGCCCUAUGGGUUGUAAACUGCUUUUCCAGGGAGAGAAACUUGCGUACGCGUUGCGCAAUUGACGGUACCCUGGGAAUAAGCAUCGGCUAACUCCGUGCCAGCAGCCGCGGUAAGCAUA